CCUACGGGAGGCUGCAGUGGGGAAUAUUGCACAAUGGGCGCAAGCCUGAUGCAGCCAUGCCGCGUGUGUGAAGAAGGCCUUCGGGUUGUAAAGCACUUUCAGCGGGGAGGAAGGCGUUAAGGUUAAUAACCUUGUCGAUUGACGUUACCCGCAGAAGAAGCACCGGCUAACUCCGUGCCAGCAGCCGCGGUAAUACGGAGGGUGCAAGCGUUAAUCGGAAUUACUGGGCGUAAAGCGCACGCAGGCGGUCUGUCAAGUCGGAUGUGAAAUCCCCGGGCUCAACCUGGGAACUGCAUUCGAAACUGGCAGGCUAGAGUCUUGUAGAGGGGGGUAGAAUUCCAGGUGUAGCGGUGAAAUGCGUAGAGAUCUGGAGGAAUACCGGUGGCGAAGGCGGCCCCCUGGACAAAGACUGACGCUCGGGUGCGAAAGCGUGGGGAGCAAACAGGAUUAGAUACCCUAGUAGUC
rnacentral:rRNA from 1 species